CAGUGGUCUGGGUAGGGCCUGAGAACCUCCAUUUCUAACCAGCACCCAGGUGAUGCUGGUGGCUGGGUUCCCUGAGGA
rnacentral:miRNA from 1 species